UCCAAAGAGGGAGAGAGGAAAGAGGGGAACGUGAGGAGAAAGUACAAGGUCAGGAAGAACCAGGUGGCCCUGUGACUUUACUGACACAGAGGUCAAGGCCGAGCACCUGAUGGCAAAGAAUGUAAUAGCAUUUUCUGAGAACAAGAGCCGGCGACUGAGUGGAUCUCUCAUGAAGGGAAAACCAUGUGGGUCCCACUACUGAAGAGAGACUGCUUUACAAUCCAGUGCCCAGGGCCCACCCUAUAUGCAGUUCUCUGCAUUAGCAGCCUGAGAUCUACCUUUGACUUUUUUAUAACAGACUUUUAAAAAAAAAAAUAUAUAUAUAAUAUUAUUAUAAAGUAAAAAAGGCAAAGGGGUUCACCUUGGCAGAGAAACUCCUCAGAUGAAAACUGGCUCUUGUUGGCACAAUCAGGGGAAACAACGCAGAGCUACCUCCCCAGCUUGUCCAGUUGCAACAGAUGAAGAUUUUGUUGUCUGUCUUUGCCUUCACCAAAGCUACCACGCUGAUAUCCCACAUGCCAAAGCAAUGGAGGAAUGGGCUUCUUUUGAGCACAACACACAGGGAACCAGCAGUCAGUGAUGGGGAAUAGAGGAAGCCUGGAAGCAAGAAGCAAUCCUGGACUGCAAUAGGCACAAAUAGUGUGUGGAUGACCUAGACAGGAUGUUGACACCUUGAGUUGUUGAAGGAAAACUGGCUGCUGGCUUUUUUCUACAAUCUCCUGGAUGUCUUGGAAUACAAUACCUUUGUCCCGUGGAAGCCACUUCACAGGAUGGGAGUCUUUUAAAACCUACCAAUGAAGAGUGAUCCUAGGAGAGCUGGGGCACAUGCUGGUGACCUCAGCAGCUGCAAGAUAGCUUUGUUCCCAAUGCUCAUUAGUCGCUUCUGCCACUGAUCCCAAGAUA